GCUACUAUUAGGACAAAGUGAAUUAAAGGCUUUGGAUGAUGUUACUUUCGCAGCAAAGUAAGGGAAGAAGAGAAGUCAUGAAAUCAACACGAAGAACUUCAGUGACCUGGUGGCAGAGGCUAAUAAAAAGAGGAAGCGCAAGAUGUAGGAAAAAGGAAGGGAAGGCAAAGAAGGAUUUCAAGUUUUAAACACAAAGUUAUACAUCAAAUUCGCAUAGCAUGAAUGCUACCCCUCGCCCAUUGGAUAUAUUCUGUUUGGUGAAUAUAUUGUGAACUAUGUUAUUCAAAGGAUCUGACACAUUGAAAGUUCUUAUUGACAUGUAAAAUGUGAAGUUCUUUGGUCGAUCUUGGGCCAUCUUGGUUCGAUUAAUGAAUGGACAGGGCAGCUAGUUGCACUAUUGAGGUAGGAGUGAUGUUUAAAGGGAAUUUGUUUAGUGAAUCCAUUUUGAGAUCAUCGAUGAAUCUUAACUGUGCAUGAACUUGGUGGAAAGUUAGAAGUGGUUUUAUUUUCUUUAGGGAAGCCAUGACCUAUAAAGCAUGAAUUUCUCAA